GCUGUCCUUAGUACGAGAGGACCGGGAUGGACAUACCUCUGGUGUACCAGUUGUCGUGCCAACGGCAUAGCUGGGUAGCUAUGUGUGGACGGGAUAAGUGCUGAAAGCAUCUAAGCAUGAAGCCCCCCUCAAGAUGAGAUUUCCCAACUUCGGUUAUAAGAUCCCUCAAAGAUGAUGAGGUUAAUAGGUUCGAGGUGGAAGCAUGGUGACAUGUGGAGCUGACGAAUACUAAUCGAUCGAAGACUUAAUCAAAA
rnacentral:rRNA from 1 species